CCAAAAUCACUUUGUUUCAAGGGAGCACAAAGAGGAAGCAGACCUAGAUAGAGAAGAAGAGAGGAACUAUGUAAAGAAGAACUUUUCAUAUGAAAAAGAUGAGCAAAAUUCUGUACAUUCAUCAGUUAACCACAAGUGGGAUGGUGCGUCAGAUCUUAAAACUGAUUUGAAGGAACGAUGGACAUCACAUGACUUGCAGCUGAUGAGUGAUCAUCAAGAAUCUUUUAGUAGUCGGCCUCCAUUAUCAUCUGUUUAUUCUGGCAGAGAAUUGAGGGAAGUAAGAGAAAAUGAUACAUUGA